rnacentral:snoRNA from 14 species
GCUCUGUGAUGAACCCCAUGCGUGUCAUCUGAGCCUGGCUUCCCUGUUAACCUUAGCCCAGGUAGUGUUCUACUUACCAGGGCUUUUGCAUGACCUAUCAGGGAAGCCGAGGGCAAAGGAUCAGUCCUUGCAUUCUGAGAGC